UACGUAGGGUGCAAGCGUUGUCCGGAAUCAUUGGGCGUAAAGCGCGCGUAGGUGGUCAUGUAAGUCCGCUGUGAAAGUCAAAGGCUCAACCUUUGAAAGCCGGUGGAUACUGCAUGACUAGAGUACGGAAGAGGCGAGUGGAAUUCCUGGUGUAGCGGUGAAAUGCGCAGAUAUCAGGAGGAACACCGAUGGCGAAGGCAGGUCUCUGGGCCACUACUGACGCUGAGAAGCGAAAGCAUGGGGAGCGAACAGG
rnacentral:rRNA from 1 species